rnacentral:rRNA from 1 species
AUUGAACGCUGGCGGCAUGCCUUACACAUGCAAGUCGAACGGUAACAGGUUAAGCUGACGAGUGGCGAACGGGUGAGUAAUGUAUCGGAACGUGCCCAGUCGUGGGGGAUAACUGCUCGAAAGAGCAGCUAAUACCGCAUACGACCUGAGGGUGAAAGCGGGGGAUCGCAAGACCUCGAGCGAUUGGAGGGGCCGAUAUCAGAUUAGGAAGUUGGGGAGGUAAAGGCUCACCAAGCCGACGACCUGUAGCUGGUCUGAGAGGACGACCAGCCACACUGGGACUGAGACACGGCCCAGACUCCUACGGGAGGCAGCAGUGGGGAAUUUUGGACAAUGGGCGCAAGCCUGAUCCAGCCAUGCCGCGUGCGGGAAGAAGGCCUUCGGGUUGUAAACCGCUUUUGUCAGGGAAGAAAAGGUUCUGGCUAAUACCUGGGACUCAUGACGGUACCUGAAGAAUAAGCACCGGCUAACUACGUG